ensembl:lncRNA
CAUGCUCGCUGAUGACCUGAAGCUGAGCAGUGAUGAUGACGACACUCAAAGGGUAAGUGACUCGCAAAGUGCUUUGAAGAUAACACAUCUAUACUAACAUUUCUUUGUUGUUAAUAUCCAUGUGAAUCAUGCACCAAGACUGAAUUCAGUCUCUCAGCCUGAGAGAUACAGAGAGAUACAGUUUAAUAAAUAUAUUUUUCAACACACCUAGAAGCACCUAUUAUGUGACUGAAAAAUGCUAAAAGAUAGCAGUGUAUUUUAAUCCCAAGUGGGGUGGGCCAAAUGUUUGACAUGACAGAUAUAAUGACUAUAACUUCAGUAACUAUGUAGUUUGACCUACAUUUUUUUCAGGACAUGUUUAAUAGUAUUCACACACGCCCACACGCAGUUUUGGUCAACUACCAUUCACCUAAGAAUAGCUUCACUACUCGCUACUAAGGGUGAUGAGACUUGAAGAGGAGAAAGAGCAACAGUGCAGAGUGUAGAUGUCGAUAUUUCUGUGAUAAGUUCCUUUUCUUUGUUUUUUGAAGGCAACUCGUGAGUCGGCUUCCUUGGAGGGACACAGGUACUUGAUUACAAAUAUCAUGUGCAUAUUGUUGAUAUGAGCUUUGUGUGUAAACUUAAGUCGAAUUGCAUGAUUAACAGCCGUAUCUGUCAGACCCUGUGUGUGUGUGUGUGUGCGGUUCACUGUGUGCAUACGCUGACCCCUCUGAUGUGUGUGUGUGUGUGUUGACUGACAGCCUGUCAGCACAGCGAGCGCACACACAUGGCAGGCGAGUGAGACAUUCCAGCUCCGACUCUUCGUGCUCGAGCUCCAGCGUUGAGUCGUGCAGCGGCAGCAGCAGCAGCAGCAGCAGCAGCAGCAGUCUUUGCUCCCGGAGCCCCGGCCACAGCCCAGACGUCCACCCGGAUCCCGCGUCGCCCGCCAACGCGCAGCCACCGGGCAACAGCAAGGAGACUGAUCACCCCCAGUGGCAGUUGGACGAAUGGCUGAAGAAAUCCCGGAGAAAAUCUUCCAGCGGUGACCAAGUGCACAGCGUUUCGGGACGUCCUCCCUCUCCCCACACCCAAAGAGCGCCGUCUCCAGCCAGGUUCUGGGACAGCAAUCAGGAAUACAGCCCCAGCCAAAGCCCUAUCCCCAGCCCACAGUUCAAUUUCAGCCACAACACCAGCCACCUACCUAGCCCUGGUUAUAGCUACUGCCCUAGCCCCAGCCCGUUCCCCAGCACAUGCCCAAGUCCCGGCCCAAGCCCCGGACCCAGCCCGAUACCCAGUCCAGUUCCAAGUGUUUGCCCCAGUCCGUGUGGGAGCCUGAGAGCCAGCCGUAGCCCUAGUCCUAUCCAUAGAGACCCUCCAAGAAGCCCCAGUCCCGGCCUACCAACUCCUUCCGGGGUUCGGCACUUCCCAGUUGUUCAGAGAACACAACCUAACCUGACAGCCAAUCCCCACAGGACGAAAAACAGGUCAUGGAUUACCCCAUUGCCUGAUACUGAUGCAAAGAGCAAAGCCACAAGCAGCAUUCCUCUUCAACCAACUCACCAACACCGGCCCAAGACUCGACCCACACAGAACCAAGACCAAACCAAACCGAAGACGUCUGCUGUUUUAAACUCUAACCAGAGUCACGGACAUAAAUCUAGACCCAAGUUGAACUUUCAUCCUAGUUCUAAACAGCUCUCUGAGGCUCCCAAACACACAUCACAUCUUGAGCAAAUCCAGAACAGCAGAUCGAACCACAGCUCUAACCACAAGCCCAGGCCUUCGUUUCAAUCAAGCUCACAUCGUAGCUCCAAAACAUCAAGACACUUAAUUCCCACUAGUUGUGAAACCAAAUCUGAUCAUAUUUCUCAAUCAAAAUCUGCAGCUAAUCAUAACACUGGGUUGAGCUGUAGAUCUAACCCCAGCCUUAAACCUAGGGCCAAGUCUUCGGAGGGUACAGCCCCAACUGCUGUGCGUGUUAAUCAUACUGUAACAACACGGAAGAAACCUCAGUCCAAGGAGCAGGAGGUAGACCUCAGAGGAGAUCAUCUUUCCCAAAGGGGGAGAGAAAACCAGAGAAAAGAGGACAGACAACAUAAAAAACAACAAGGGAAACCGGAGAGAAAGGAAGACAGGAGGCUGGCGGAGGAGCAGCUACUGAGACGUCCCUGGAUCCACAGUUCGGCAGAAGAAGAGGAGGAGGAGGAGGGAUUGAUAGAGAGGCAGAGGAGGAGAGAGGAGGCAGCAAGAGGGGAAAACCGUCGAGGAAGGGGACAGCAACUUCAGUGUGAAUGGCAGACAGUCCUGGCCAAAGAGAGACUGCUGACCAACACUGAGCGGAAUCGCCUCAAAGACGACUCGCACCAUCAGGGCAGGGCAAAAAGAGCAGGGAGAAGUGAGGAAGAGAGAGAGUUACAGCAAGACCCGUCACCGCCUCCGUCACGUUCGCCAACUCCUCACAGACCACCUACCUCGCCCUCCGUCUCCUCCGCUCCAAACUCUGAUUCGGAAUCUGAAUAUCAGGCUCCGAUCACCAAAGUUCCAGCAGACUCCACCUCUUACAAGGCACUCCCCAAGAGGGGGCGGCAAAGCCUCGGCAGGUCCGGUGCCGACAGGCCAAAAGUCGUGCUCCCCAGAGGACCCACCUCGGCUCAUCCAAGUGAGGGGCAGCAAAAACUCUACACCCUGGUCCCAUUCGGGCGAGGUGAACAAACUACAGCACCUUCCCAGCGAGGGCUUCGAAAUCUCGUGGUGCAGAUAGACCUCUGUCUUCUCAAAAGGGUCCCGGACAGCACUACCAGUUCCACCCUUAAAAAGCCCUCCUCCUCUUCCUCCCUGUCAUCCACGAAGGACAAGCAAAGAGAGGCCAUGAAACACCUGUACGUCCCUGAGACCGUGUCGAAGGACAGCAAAAGGAAACGCAAGUCGGAGAACGGCGUGUCACACAGAGAAAGCAAGAGGAGCAUUCCCCCCUGCGAAGGACCUCUCGAGCCAGAAGGAGCCCGCACCUCACGCAGUGGAGCGCAACUUUGUGACAGAAACCGUUCACAACGGGUACUUGGAGGAGUACUUGGACAACAAGAGGCCGUUGUCUCCUCUGUCUCCACUGUCCGACAGCCCUCAGUCCACCAAGCCCCCCCCUAA